UACCAGCUCUCCGAGUGGUGUGGAUGUUUAUUGGGCCUAAAGCAUCCGUAGCUGGCUGGACAAGUCCCCUGCUAAAUCCACCGAUUUAAUCGUUGGUGUGCGGGGGAUACUGUUCGGCUAGGGGACGGGAGAGGCCGACGGUAUUUCCGGGGUAGGGGUGAAAUCCUAUAAUCCCGGGAAGACCACCAGUGGCGAAGGCUGUCGGCUAGAACGCGCCCGACGGUGAGGGAUGAAAGCUGGGGGAGCGAACCGGAUUAGAUACCCGGGUAGUCCCAGCUGUAAACGAUGCAGGCUAGGUGUUUGGACGGCCACGUGCCGCUCUAGUCGCCGCAAGGAAGCUGUUAAGCCUGCCGCCGUGGGGAGUACGGCCGCAAGGCUAGGAAACUUAAAGGGAAUUGGGACGGGGAAGCACCACGAAGGGGGUGAAGCUUGCGGUUU
rnacentral:rRNA from 1 species